UGACAGUUAAUGAAGCCAAUUCAAUGUUUCUUACAUCAAUCUAAAAUCUAUGGCUUCCGCCCAUUAAUUCCAAUUCUAUUCCAUGAAGCCAUUCAGAAAAAGACUAAUGCCUCUUCCACAAAUAUUUGAACACAGCUCUCACAUCCUCCACAUUAUGGCAUCACUAGGCUGAAUACCCCUAGUUUCUUCAACUGUGGUGCUUAUGACAGUGGUGGUGCUAAAUAAACAUUUGCAGAAUGAAUGAA
rnacentral:sRNA from 1 species